rnacentral:tRNA from 1 species
GGGGCUGUAGCUCAGUGGUACAGCGCCCACCUCACACGUGUGAGGCGCUGGGUUCGAUCCUCAGCACCA